UACGAAGGGGGCUAGCGUUGCUCGGAAUCACUGGGCGUAAAGCGCACGUAGGCGGCUUUUUAAGUCAGGGGUGAAAUCCUGGAGCUCAACUCCAGAACUGCCUUUGAUACUGGGAAGCUCGAGUCCGGAAGAGGUGAGUGGAACUCCGAGUGUAGAGGUGAAAUUCGUAGAUAUUCGGAAGAACACCAGUGGCGAAGGCGGCUCACUGGUCCGGUACUGACGCUGAGGCGCGAAAAGCGUGGGGAGCAAACAGGG
rnacentral:rRNA from 1 species